rnacentral:lncRNA from 1 species
AACAUUUUAUUAUUAUGUAUAAAAAUGAACUGUCAUAUGUUGUACAUUAUAUAUUCUAUAUAAACUAUAUUUCAUGUAUAUAUUAUGAAUAAUAUAAAAAUAUAUAGUCAUCUGCAUUCCAAAAUAAAAGAAUCUUUAAGGUUAACUUGGUAAAAAGGUAUAAGGUAAAUUUUAAGUUAUAUCGUAACAAAAUUUCAUAAUAGCCUUGAAGAAUAUUCUAGGAAAUACAAUUUGAAAGAAGGAGUUUAAGUAUUCAGGGCAUUUACUCUUGUCAAUUAAAAAAUAUAAAAUAUAUUAUAUUAACAGUUAGAAAUAUUUCUAUAUGUUAUUGUCACCAGUUAAUGUAACUGUUAAAACUUUAGUUUGCAAGUAAAUAUGGAUUACACAUUUCUUGAAAUUUUCACAAUUUACUAAUUUUUGUCAUAUUCUAGUGGAUCUGCUGCCUAAUUUGUGAAAGUUUACACAACCUUUCUACGUGAAGAAUAUUGCAACUUUAAAAACAGCAUGAAAAAUUUUGUUACAUUAGGAUGCAAAAAGGGCGUGGUGGCUUAUGCCUGUAAUCCCAGCAUUUUUGGAGGCUGAGGCAGGAGGAUCAUCUGAGGUCAGGAGUUUGAUACCACCGUGGCCAACAUGGUGAAUCCCUGUUUCUACUAAAAAUACAAAAAAUUAGCUGGGUGUGGUGGUGCAUGCCUGUAGUUGCCUGAUUGAGUAUCCCAACACCUAACACACACAUGUGCACAUGCACACACACACCCAUGGCAAGUGAGAGAGAGAGAACCAUUUAACAAUGACUGAAGAUUAAUUGGUCUCAGGAAUUUAAAAUAACUUCUGUACAGCCAUUAGCUGGCUACUGAAAUAACUGAGCAGAGACAUCAGUGGCCACAAAUGACAAAUAACACA